CCUAGGGGAGGCAGCAGUGGGGAAUGUUGGACAAUGGGCGCAAGCCUGAUCCAGCUAUUCCGCGUGUGGGAUGAAGGCCCUCGGGUUGUAAACCACUUUUGUAGAGAACGAAAAGACACCUUGUAAGAAAGGGUGUUGCUGACGGUACUCUAAGAAGAAGCACCGGCUAACUACGUGCCAGCAGCCGCGGUAAUACGUAGGGUGCGAGCGUUAAUCGGAUUUACUGGGUGUAAAGGGAGCGAAGACGGCUGUGCAAGUCUGGGGUGAAAGGCGGGGGCCCAACCCCCGGACUGCUCUGGAAACUGUAAAGCUGGAGUGCAGGAGAGGUAAGCGGAAUUCCUAGUGUAGCGG
rnacentral:rRNA from 1 species